rnacentral:rRNA from 1 species
UACCGAGUUCUUCUUACUCGAAACCCUUUGUGAACCUUUAUACCCGUUGCUUCGGCGGCGCCGAGCUCCCGCGAGGGACGGAGGCGCCCGCCGGUGUAUUCAGAAUCUCUGUUUGAACCCGACGUUACCUCUGAGUGUUCUAAGCGAACUGUUAAAACUUUCAGCAACGGAUCUCUUGGCUCUAGCAUCGAUGAAGAACGCAGCGAAACGCGAUAAGUAGUGUGAAUUGCAGAAUUCAGUGAAUCAUCGAAUCUUUGAACGCACAUGGCGCCCCCCGGUAUCCCGGGGGGCAUGCCUGUCCGAGCGUCGUUUCAACCCUCGGGCUCUUAGUAGCCCGGCGUUGGGGACCUACGCGCCGUCGUAGGCCCCGAAAAGCAGUGGCGGACCCGCGCCGGCCCCCCCUUUGCGUAGUAGCAUCAGCCUCGCAUCGGGAGCCCGCGGGACCUCCGGCCUCUAAACCCCACUAAAGCCCGCUCCGGCGGCACCAAGGUUGACCUCGGAUCAGGUAGGAAUACCCGCUGAACUUAAGCAUAUCAAUAAGCGGAGGAGAAGAAACCAACAGGGAUUGCCUCAGUAACGGCGAGUGAAGCGGCAACAGCUCAAAUUUGAAAUCUGGC